AAGACCAUACUUUCAGGGAUCGUUUAUAUGGUUUACAGCUAGAGAAGUUUCUCAGCGUGAGGAGCCACAGAAAGCACGAGGAGAAGGUGCAGCGUUCUCUGUGGCACGUGAAGCCAGCUCUUGGUGUUACUUCGCUACAACUACAUUUGCCACUGAUGAUCGUUCUUCUCUGGUCUCAGAGUAGAAGGGAGAGAAGAUGCAGUCUGAGUGAU
ensembl:snoRNA U3 Small nucleolar RNA U3